CUGCCGGAAGAUCGGCCCGCGUCUGAUUAGCUAGUUGGUGGGGUAACGGCCUACCAAGGCGACGAUCAGUAGCUGGUCUGAGAGGAUGAUCAGCCACACUGGGACUGAGACACGGCCCAGACUCCUACGGGAGGCAGCAGUGGGGAAUAUUGGACAAUGGGCGCAAGCCUGAUCCAGCCAUGCCGCGUGAGUGAUGAAGGCCUUAGGGUUGUAAAGCUCUUUUAUCCGGGACGAUAAUGACGGUACCGGAGGAAUAAGCCCCGGCUAACUUCGUGCCAGCAGCCGCGGUAAUACGAAGGGGGCUAGCGUUGCUCGGAAUCACUGGGCGUAAAGGGCGCGUAGGCGGUCUUUUAAGUCGGGGGUGAAAGCCUGUGGCUCAACCACAGAAUUGCCUUCGAUACUGGGAGACUUGAGUUCGGAAGAGGUUGGUGGAACUGCGAGUGUAGAGGUGAAAUUCGUAGAUAUUCGCAA
rnacentral:rRNA from 1 species